AUGGAGGUGGUGUCGUGUUGUACUCUCCUGGCCUGUGUUGCCCCAGUCUCAGUCUUGUUCGACACCCUCUGUCUCUUUGGACUCUGUUUCCGGUCAGAUGUUUCUGGACUACACUUUCUGUCCGCAUCACCUGUGGUCCAUUUUGUUCAGGCUGGACAAAAUGCUUCCCUGUCAUGCAACCUCACAACCAGUAAAGAAAUAAUCUGGCUCCAAAUGCGCUCAGAGGAACUUGUUAUCCUUUUAACUGUUAACAAGGCAUCACAUUUUCUAAAUACUUCAGCAGUUAAUGAGGAAAUCAUGGGUCACUUUGACACAAAGGAAAACAACAGUUUGGAGAUCAUUGUGGUGACAGAAGCAGAUUUGGGACUGUACUACUGUGCUGAUCGCUACCAUGGGACAAUGCGAUUUGGAAAAGGCAUCCGUCUGACUUUUGCAGAUGCAGAGGUGGUGUCGUGUUGUACUCUCCUGGCCUGUGUUGCCCCAGUCUCAGUCUUGUUUGGCACCCUCUGUCUCUUUGGACUCUGUUUCCGGUCAGGUAAAACAAAAUGUUUGUGCAACACCUGUGUGAACAGGAAUUCAAGUCUCAAGGAAGAGGGUCUGCACGAUGCCAGUCUGAAGCACAUUGGUAAUGCCCACCCCACUGCUCAGGGAGUGCCAAGAUUGGCCCAGGGAGAUGUCACCUGUGCAACAGAAGUCAAAUACGAACUGUGUGGUUAAUCAAUGUGUUACUCUCUUCAAACCCUGGAAUGCUGGUCUAGCAGUGACCACAGCGGAAUAGAUGAUGUGAUGCUGGUCUCCCUGUACCCUCUAUCUUUCCUUCCAGUUCUGCCGACCCAGAGAUGCCAACUGAACCUCAGUGUCUUCCACAUGAGAAGGGCCCUGAGACACAAACAUUCAUUUCAGCAAUGCUUUCAGUGUAACGCCCUGGCCAUAGAGAGGGGUUUUUGUUCUUUAUUUUGGUUAGGCCAGGGUGUUACAUUGGGUGGGCGUUCUAUGUUCAUUUUUCUAUGUUUUUGUAUUUCUUUGUUUUGGGCCGUGUGUGUGGCUCCCAAUCAGGCACAGCUGUAGUUCGUUGUUGCUGAUUGGGAGUCACACAUAAGUAGCCUGGUUUUCCUUUGGGUGAUUGUAUUCUGUUAGUGUGUUUUCCUGACAGAACUGUUUCUGGUCGUUUUUGUUUCGUUUUGUAUUGUGUUCGUUCAGUCAAUUAAACUUCUAAUGAUGAACACAUCCUCCUCUGCACCUUGGUCUAAUUCUGACGACUGCCCUUACAUUCAGUUUACAGUGAGAUAUAUUCAUUUGUACUCACUUCUUCCACAUCACCCUGUGUGAUCUCAGACCCUAUAAGACAAAAUAUGAAACAAUCAUUUGUUUACAAUGAGAGCAAUACUUGUUGGGAGAAUGCACACAUUUAACACAAACCCUACUAUUGGGACUUUUCUGGUAGCAAACAAUUAGUGUUCUUUACCUAGUCUGGAGCUCCUUCCUGCUUGUGUCCUGUCACUAUAGGAAAUAAGGUGAUCAUAUCACAUGUUUGUAAAAAGGUUGUUGCAUGACCGCAUAGGCCAAUGUAAUAGCUUAAUAUGGACCUAAAAGCUUGUACAAAGAAGAUCAGAUGCAUAUAAUGUAACAAUAUAGUUUUUAGACAUUUUCACCUGUACUGCAAUUCUUUCUUUCUGUUCACUCUGUCUAUCAGCAAAAAGGCCCGGCAUUCCAGCCAAAAGCACCAGGAAGCAUAGUCCAACGACAGCUAUCAUCACCACAACUGAAAGACAAAAGCACAGUUCAACAUGUGAAAAUGUCUAUUAAAGAUAGCAGGACAAAAGAUUUGAACUACUUUUCAUUCAGUCUAAUUUGUGUGUGAAUGUCCGUGGACAACGUACCAUUUGUAGGUCCUUAUCUCUCUCAACAACAUCUGAAAAUAGGUGAAUAAUAUAGGUCAUGGAAUUUACUUUCACAGUGUUACUUUCAUACUUGUAAAAAGAAUUGCAUAGUGUUGCUGUGUGUUACCUGUUUUCAUAACAGCAGUGAAACUUUGGAUGUUGAGAUGAUGUGAGUUUGCCAAAAUAAAUAAAUAAUCAAGUCAGGCAUAAGCAUGGUAUUUUAAAUGAAAGGGGAAUGGCAUUAGAGGGGUCUCUAAAGUGUGGUUCCCCCAACGCUUUCUCUCACUGCUUUUCCUAAGAACUGAUGAAGUUGAUUGUUGAGCCUGAUCUUUGAAUUAAAUGAAAAUGUCACUUAAAAUUCAACAUGGACAAUUAAAUAGAUAAAAUGCCAUUUGGAAAGCUCUACCUGUCAACACUGUUACUUUAGCUGUCGUUUCCCCAUUACACAGGUACUUUCCAGAGUCCCCUGGCUGCAGAUUGAGGUUCUGCAGGGCUCCAUCUUCAUCAAAGGAAAACCUGUUCUGUGGGUCCUCCCUCUCCCUUUUCCUGUUUCGCAUGACUAUCUUUCUUGAAGAACCACCUCUGCUUGGCUUUUCUAGAUACUGUACAGGGCAGCAAUAGGGUUCUGCCAGCAGAAACAGCACCUUUUUGGCCUGUGGGAAGACAUUUAUGAAAUGAUUGUAACAAGAUGCAGAAAUGUUAAAGACAAUGAUAGGAAUAUGCUCAUUAGACAAAAAAUAAAAUGUUCAGCUAAUUUCCUUAAAAAUGUUUACUUAUAUUAUUCUAUCCCUCCAAUGACAGAACAAUUUAAUUGGUGGUUGUCCACUUGUUCUGCUUGAAAUUGAUAAUUGGUAAACAGUCAGUGGUCCAUUUUCAGCUCUCAUCAUCAAGGACAGCAACCAAUAUAUUUAUAAAAAACAUAUUCAUUAUUCUAGAGGGGUGGACAGAUAAGCGUUACAUUUAAAUUUGAUUUGAGACUCGAAAUUGAGCUCAGGCGCAUCCUGUUUCCAUUGAUCAUCCUUGAGAUGUUUCUACAACUUGGAGUCCAGCUGUGGUACAUUCAAUUGAUUGGUAAUGAUUUGGAAAGGCACACACCUAUCUAUAUAAAGGCCCCACAGUUGACAGUGCAUGUCAGAGCAAAAACCAAGCCAUGAGGUUGAAGGAAUUGUCCGUAGAACUCUGAAACAGGAUUGUGUCGGGAACAUAUCUGGGGAAGGGUACCAAAAACGUUAUGCAGCACUGAAGGUCCCCAAGAACACAGUGGCCUCCAUCAUUCUUAAAUGGAAGAAGUUUGGAACCACCAAGACUCUUCCUAGAGCUGGCCGCCUGGACAAACUGAGCAAUCGGGGAGAAGGGCCUUGGUCAGGGAGGUGACCAAGGACCUGAUGGCCACGCUGUCAGAGCUCCACUGUGGAGAUAGGAGAACCUUCCAGAAGGACAACCAUCUCUGCAGCACUCCACCAAUCAGGCCUUUAUGGAAGAGUGGCCAGACGGAAGCCAGUCCUCAGUAAAAUGCACAUGACAGCCUGCUUGGAGUUUGCCAAAAGGCACCUAAAGACUCUCAGACAAUGGGAAACAAGAUUCUCUGGUCUGAUGAAACCAACAUUGAACUCUUUGGCCUGAAUGCCAAGCAUCACGUCUGGAGGAAACCUGGCACCAUCCCUACAGUGAAACAUUGUAGUGGCAGCAUCAUAUGCUGUGGGGAUGUAUUUGAGCAGCAGGGACUGGUAGACUAGUCAGGAUCGAAGGAAAGAUGAACGGAGCAAAGUACGGAGAGAUCCUUGACGAAAACCUGCUCCAGAGCAGUCAGGACCUCAGACUGGGGCGAAGGUUCACCUUCCAACAGCACAACUUUUAUUUAACCAGGUAGGCCAGUUGAGAACAAGUUCUUAUUUACAACUGCGACCUGGCCAAGAUAAAGCAAAGCAGUGUGACAACAACAACAGCACAGAGUUACACAUGGGAUAAACAAACGUACAGUCAAUAACACAAUAGAAAAUAUAUGUACAGUGUGCGCAAAUGUGGUAAAGUUAGGGAGGUACGGCAAUAAAUAGGCCAUAGUGGCGAAAUAAUUACAAUUUAGCAUUAACACUGGAGUGAUAAAUGUGCAGAUGAUGAUGUGCAAGUAGAGAUACUAGGGUGCAAAAGAGCAAAAAAAUAAAUAACAAUAUGGGCGUGAGGUUGUUGGGUGUGCUAUUUACAGAUGGGUUGUGUACAGGUACAGUGAUCGGUAAGCUGCUUUGACAGCUGAUGCUUGAAGUUAGUGAGGGAGAUAAGUCUCCAGCUAAGUGUGAUUUUUGCAAUUCGUUCCAGUCAUUGGCCGCAGAGAACUGGAAGGAAAGGCAGCCAAAGAGGUGUUGGCUUUGGGGAUGACCAGUGAAAUAUACUUGCUGGAGCGCGUGCUACAGUUGGG
rnacentral:lncRNA from 8 species